ACAGGCAUAGCGCAAUGGAAGCGCGUCUGACUUCGAAUCAGAAGGUUGAGGGUUCGAGUCCCUUUGUCUGUA
rnacentral:tRNA from 1 species